UAAUACGGAGGGUGCAAGCGUUAUCCGGAUUCACUGGGUUUAAAGGGUGCGUAGGCGGGUAUGUAAGUCAGUGGUGAAAUCUCGAAGCUUAACUUCGAAACUGCCAUUGAUACUAUAUAUCUUGAAUAUUGUGGAGGUUUGCGGAAUAUGUCAUGUAGCGGUGAAAUGCUUAGAUAUGACAUAGAACACCUAUUGCGAAGGCAGCAGGCUACACAUAUAUUGACGCUGAGGCACGAAAGCGUGGGGAUCAAACAGG
rnacentral:rRNA from 1 species